GUGCUCACUUCGGCAGCACAUAUACUAAAAUUGGAACGAUACAGAGAAGAUUAGCAUGGCCCUGAGCAAGGAUGACACACAAAUUCGUGAAGUGUUCCAUAUUUAA
rnacentral:snRNA from 1 species